rnacentral:rRNA from 1 species
GNAAACNNNNCNGNAGUCGACGAUUCCUACGGGAGGCAGCAGUGGGGAAUAUUGCACAAUGGGCGCAAGCCUGAUGCAGCGACGCCGCGUGAGGGAUGACGGCCUUCGGGUUGUAAACCUCUUUCAGCACCGACGAAGCGCAAGUGACGGUAGGUGCAGAAGAAGGACCGGCCAACUACGUGCCAGCAGCCGCGGUAAUACGCAGGGUCCGAGCGUUGUCCGGAAUUACUGGGCGUAAAGAGCUCGUAGGUGGUUUGUCGCGUUGUCCGUGAAAUCCCACGGCUUAACUGUGGGCGUGUGGGCGAUACGGGCAGACUGGAGUACUGCAGGGGAGACUGGAAUUCCUGGUGUAGCGGUGGAAUGCGCAGAUAUCAGGAGGAACACCGGUGGCGAAGGCGGGUCUCUGGGCAGUAACUGACGCUGAGGAGCGAAAGCGUGGGGAGCGAACAGGAUUAGAUACCCUGGUAGUCCACGCCGUAAACGGUGGGUACUAGGUGUGGGUUUCCUUCCUUGGGAUCCGUGCCGUAGCUAACGCAUUAAGUACCCCGCCUGGGGAGUACGGCCGCAAGGCUAAAACUCAAAUGAAUUGACGG